CCAAUCCCCCAGGUGGCCGGCAGGAUCGAUGGCGGAGUCUCCCUGAUUAGUCACCUCUGGGUGGCAGCCAGGGCAGGUCCGCCUGGGGGAGGGGACACGGCUCUGCCUGCACUGCACAGGAGCUGUCGCGGAGCCCAGGGGGGCCUUGGGGCUCGCUGAAACUCUGGAAGUAUGUGCACUCGCCACAGUUGGCCUUCUGCUGGCAGGGCCCGCAGACCCCGCAGCGCUUGCGCUUCUUCUUCUCCAGAGUCGGCAGGAGGGUCGUGUAGGACAAGGAGGCGGUGGCGCUGGCCAGGGACACCGGUUCGGGCGCGCUGCUCACACUGACAUGGGGACUCUGACUUUCGGUGGUGCCAGGACCAGCCUGGGAGAACUGGACAGAGCCAGGCAGGGCUGGAGCAAGGCUGCUUCCCAGCGCGACAGUGACAUCGGGAGUGGUGGCUGGCGGAAGGCCCAUAGGAAUGGGCGCCUCAGUCUCUGCAUUGCUUGCAGCUAUUACUGGAGGUACUGAGCUGAACUCAGGGCCUGAUGGAGGCUGAGGAGCGUGUCCUGGGCCCAAGGGCAGGACUGGCCCAGCACUUGGUACUGCAGGCCUGUAGGUUACAGCACCCUCGGACACAGGCCACUGUGGGAGAGCACUAUAGGCAGGAAUUGCAUUUGGGAGCAGGGGAAGGAAGGCACCCAGGUCUGGGGCAGCACCCGCACCUGAGACCAAACCCAGGACUUCGUGUUGGUUGAGGAUAGGACCAAAGACCUCUCUUUGGACUGAAGUAGCACCAGGAAUUUCCAGUGGGGCUGGGGCCUCCCCCGGAACUGGGUUAGCACCCGGAAUUUCCCACUGAUGAGGAACAGCCUGAAAGGCUGGUCCUGGGAUGGAGGCAGAAUCAGCAGCUCCCUCUGGAGCUGGGGUAGCUUGGAGGGCCUCUUGGUUGUGGGGUUGAGCACCAAGGGUUUGUGGCUCGGAGCCUGCUAAGAGGAACUUUAUCAGGGCUGAGGGAUAGACAGACAGGUAGUUCCUGAGGUCCAGUUCGGGUACACCCUGAUGAAAGACAGAGGAUGGGCAGCUCUCCUGUUCACGUGGGUCAGGAUCUGGGCUAGAAUCAAACAACUUCAGAGAUUGUACUCGUGAACCCAAGUCUUCCAACUGAACGUGAGGGUUUCUGUGGGAGGUAACUUCGGUGGCUACUCUUUGGGACAAAGAGGUACUCAGAGUGUCCCAAGCAAAGCUCUGGGACUCGCUGGUGUCAUUUGGUAUCUGUUCAGAGAAGAGUUCUUCACCACAGUGUGGCCUUUCCAGAGGCUCAGGCAGAAUCUCAGCUGCUAGGGUACUGGAGGUGGGGACACUGAUUUUGGACUCCUCUACCUUUUGAGACCAAGGCUGGGUUGUCUCUGGACUCUCACCUUUAACUAAAGGUGUGUUUUGUACACUGAUUAGAUUUUCUGUAUCAAGAGGCACUGGAGGGUCUGAAUUUGGGACUGGGUCAUUUUCUGAAUGCUUUACUCCGGGGUUGGAGAGCACUUUAUUACACUCGCGUUGCUUUUCUGAAUUCUUGGAAGACGCAAUUUUCUUGGGUUUGGCAGUGACCACUGGAGGCUGGGAGAGCCGCCUGCUAAGAGAGGUGCUGCGGAGAGCCAUUGUAAAGCCAUUGCAAGUUAGGGACUCUGGGUUCUGUAACAGAACCUCAUUGCGAUCCAGAUUCAGACGGGCUGCUCCAGCUCGGGUCAGAAGGCUUCUGGCUGGCACAAGAGGUUUGGGUUCUGUUUUUUUCUUACCAUCUCUUUCUUGAAUUAAUUGUUUUAACUUUCCAGGGCUCACAGGCUUGACUGAUGUCACAUUUUUGUUGGCUGCUGGCUUGUGGGUCUUCUUCAGUUGGAUGUUUUUCUUUUUGUUUAUGUCUUCCUUCCUGACUAACCUGGAAGGCCUUGCGUGACGAGAUCGAGACAUAGCUACAGAGUGGGAAGAACUCCAAGGGCCCAGGAAAUAGAGUCAUUGGUCCUUUGGAAAGUCUCACUUUGGAGGAGAAUCUGGAUAGAUUGUCAAGCUCAGUCAUACAAAGUUUCAACCUGAAAUAAAAAUAUUGAAAGUAAGUCUCAUGCAUUUUCCACUUGAAAGAAUAUUUACUAUUGGUUAAAAUGAGGAAACUCAGAACAUGUAUUGCAAAAGAAAAAUGGGUAGAGAUGUUUCCAGAACUGAAAAAAAAAAAAAAAAAAAAGAAAAAGAAAAAUGGGAAUGCCCCACCUCUGUCUCUCUCUCUUGAGGCAUGUUCUCCCAGAGUUGGAAUAACAGGCUGUGAUACCAUGCCAAGCUGAAGAAUUAUUACGAGGUUGGAUUCGUUAUAAUAUUCCUUUAAUUACCACAACAACCGACUCAGCUGAUAAAGUUCUUAGAAUAAAAUAAGCAUAACAAUGUUUCUCUACAUGAGACACAGCAUGUGUAGUUAUAUGUAUUUUAAAACUUAAAUCUGUCUUUAGGUACUGUGAUCAUUAACCUUGAUGUCAGCUUCACUGGGUAAAGAAAUAUCUUGCCAAUUAGAAGAGCAUGCUCCUGCAUGUGUGGCCUGGGUCAGCCCUGGGUACUGUAUAUGGUGCUCUUCCCUGCUCUGCUUCCUGGCCACCAUGAACUAAGCAGCUUUGCUCCGCUAUACCCUUCUGCCAUGAAGUUCCUGCCUUGGAGCCAACUGACCAUGGAUUGAACUCCCUGAAACCAUGAGCAAGUUAAGCCUCUCUUCCCUGAAAUUGUGGGUAUUGGACAUUGUGUCUCAGUAACAACAAAAACUAAAAAAGAUACUUUAAAAA